rnacentral:sRNA from 1 species
UCCGGGCAUGGUGGUGCAUGCCUGUAAUCCCAGCUACUAGGGAGGCUUAGGUAAGAGGAUCAAGAGAUCAAAGCCAGCCUCAGCAAAAGCAAAGUGCUAAGCAACUCAGCGAGACCUUGUCUCUA